rnacentral:rRNA from 1 species
CAAGGCUAAAUACUCCUGACUGACCGAUAGUGAACCAGUACCGUGAGGGAAAGGCGAAAAGUACCCCUGUGAGGGGAGUGAAAUAGAACCUGAAACCGUGUACGUACAAGCAGUAGGAGCAGGCUUUGUCCUGUGACUGCGUACCUUUUGUAUAAUGGGUCAGCGACUUAAUUUUAGUAGCAAGGUUAACCAUCUAGGGGAGCCGUAGGGAAACCGAGUCUUAACUGGGCGUCAUAGUUGCUAGGAUUAGACCCGAAACCGAGUGAUCUAGCCAUGGGCAGGUUGAAGAUUGAGUAACAUCAAUUGGAGGACCGAACCGACUAAUGUUGAAAAAUUAGCGGAUGACUUGUGGCUAGGGGUGAAAGGCCAAUCAAACUCGGAGAUAGCUGGUUCUCCCCGAAAGCUAUUUAGGUAGCGCCUCGGACGAAUACUACUGGGGGUAGAGCACUGUUAAGGCUAGGGGGUCAUCCCGACUUACCAACCCUUUGCAAACUCCGAAUACCAGUAAGUACUAUCCGGGAGACACACGGCGGGUGCUAACGUCCGUCGUGAAGAGGGAAACAACCCAGACCGCCAGCUAAGGUCCCAAAGUUAUAGCUAAGUGGGAAACGAUGUGGGAAGGCUCAGAC